ensembl:lncRNA
CUCUUUCUCUUUAUUUAUUUGACUGCACCAUCUGCCAAAACAUCAAAACAAACAAAACAUAUUUUUACCAUGUUGUGAUUGUAGCAUAUUUUACUUCAUUACAAAAGUACAGGCAAUUCAUUGUAUGUCAUGCAAGGCUGUUCAGAGCAUGGGGGCGGGGAGAGGUGUUUCAAGAAAUUAGGAAAACAAUUCCAUUUACAAUAUCAUCAGGAAGAGUAAAAUAUUUAGGAAUAAACUCAACUGAAAACUAUAAAAUAUUGCUGAAAGAAAUUAAAGAAGACACAAAUAAUUGAAAAGACCUUUCACAUUCAUGGAUUGGAAGGCUCAAUAUUGUUAAGAUGGUGAUACUACCAAAAGUGAUCUACAGAUUUAAUGCAAUCCCUAUUAAAACCCCAAUGCCAUUUUUUUGCAGAAAUAGAAAAAUCUAUCCUAAAAUUCACAUGGAAUCUCAAAGGACCUCAAAUAGCCAAAACAAACUUAAAAAAAGAAGAACAAAGUUGGAGGCAUCACACUUUCUGAUUUGAAAACUUCUUACAAAGCUACAAUAAUCAAAACAAUGUGGUCCUGGCAUAAAGACAGACAUAUAGACCAAUGAAAUAGAACAAAACCCCAGAAGUAAACCCUUAUGUACAUGGUCAAAUGAUUUUUGACAAGGGUGCCAGGUUCAUUCAAUGGUGAAAGGACAGUUUUUUCAACAAAUGUUGUUGGGAAAAGUGGACAUCUUUAUCUUACAUCAUAUACAAAAGUUAACAUAAAAUGGAUCAAAAACCUAAACAUAAGAGCUAAACCGUAAAACUCCUAGAAGAAAACAUAGUGGGAAAGCUUCAUAACUUUGGAUUUGGCAAUGAUUUCUUGGAUGUGACACCAAAAGCACAAGCAGCAAAACAAAAAUAGAUAAAUUGGAAUUCAUCAAAAGUUAAAACUUCUGGGCAUCAAAGGACACAAUCAAUAUAGUGAACAGGCAACCCAUGGAGUGGGCGAAAAUAUUUGCAAAUCAUAUAUUUAAUAAGGGAUUAAUAUCUAGAAUAUAUAAGGAACUCCUGCAACUCCACAACAAAAACAACAAAACCCCCAAUUUAAAAAUGGAUAAAGGACCUGAAUAGACAUUUCUCUAAGGAAGAUACACAAAUGGCCAGUGAGCACACGAAAAUGUGUUCAAUAUCACUAGUCAUUAGAACAAUGAAAAUCAAAAUCACAACAAGAUGCACCUCACACCCAUCAGGAUGGCUACUACCAAGAAAACGAGAGAAUGACAAGUUUUGGUGAAGACUCAGAAGUUGGAACCCUUGUGCACUGCUGUUGGGAAUGUAAAAUGGUGCAGUCAUUAUGGAAAACAUUAUGGUGGCUCCUCAAAAAAUUAAAAAUAGAGUUAUCACAUGACCUAGCAACCCCACUCCUGGGUAUCUACCCAAAAGAAUUGAAAGCAAGGUCUUAAAGAGAUAUUUGUACACCCACGUUCCCAGCAGCAUUAUUCACGAUAACCAAAAGGUGGCAGCAACCCAAGCGUCCCUCAGUGAAAGAAUGAAUAAACAAAAUGUGAAUAUACAUACAGUGGAAUAUCAUUCAGCCUUAAAAGGAACAGAAAUUCUGGCAUUUGCUACAACGUGGAUGAACCUGGAAGACAUCAUGCUGAGUGAAAUAAGCCAUUCACAGAAAGACAAACACCAUUCCUAUGAGAGCUAGCACCUCCCUCCUUGCUUGAAGACAAUGCAGAGGCCUCUUCCCUUCGAGUCAGCUUGUGUCCCCGACCCCCAGGAGGUGCCCCACCUCUUCUUCUGGCCACCAGGUAUACAACUAGAUGAAGGCUCAGAGAAAAUCCCAUUCACCAAGGCCGUAAUGUACCUGCAUCACCAGGAAGCUCCAUGGUGGCCCCCCUCUGCAGACAGUGGGAGAGGUUUCUACAGAGCUGGGCUCGCUGAACGCAAGAGGGAUGAUAGGACCCUGGAACAAGAGUGGCUAUGUGGUGACGCAACUCUCAGAAAUCAGGUGAAUGCAAUGAUCAUAAUCAGCAAAAAGCUCAGAGGGGCAAUCAAGGAAGGCUGGACCACAGAAUGUGAUGGAGAUGGAGACCACAUCCCCAGGGGCAAAAUACCUGUCAACAAGAGCACUACGCAACUUGUGCCAUUGGAAGAAAUCGAGGAUGGAUAUUCAGGAGGCCGGUGGUGGGUACCGCAAUAAAAGUCCCAAUAACUUGCCCCAGAGUUGGAAAACUCUGAACCCCUUGACUGAGAGGAGGGCCAGGUCUCCAAGAAAAAGGACCAUGCAACACCUGGGUGAAUGGGCACAGCCAAGAUACCUUGAGGUCUUCCUCAAAGGGAUCUAAGGACUCAGGGAACUCUUCACCAGGAAAAGGGGAAUAUCAAGUUUUUGGAGAACUGCGGGAGGUGACUGAUAUGUGGAGACCUGAAGAGUCAUCAUGGCCCUCUCGCUCUGUUGUGUGGGACAGAGGGCAGCCAAGCAAUAAGUAAAAUCUUGCCUGUGGUCUGGUGGCUCACAGUGGUUUCAAUAGGUCCACAGAUCCAAUCAGUUGUCGUUUCCCCCAUCUCCAAAUGUAUAACCGGGGUAGAUAUUCUCAGAACUUGGCACAACCUUCACAGUGGGUCUUUGGCCUGUGGGAUGGGAGCUUUCAAUGGGGAAAGCCAAGUGGAAUUUUCUAAAGCUACCCCCAUUCACAUAGCCAAGAUAGCAAAUAAAACAUGUGUAUGAUAUAUAUUUCAUCCUGGGGGAAGGAAGAAUAUGGGGGCAGUGAGGAGAGGGGACUAUGGGAUGUAUAAGAGGAGAGAGGGGCAGAUGGCUGAAGUUAGUGCUACCCUUAGGGAUCUAAAAGGUAGCAGGUUGGUUCUCCCUGUUAUAUCUCCAUUUAAUUAACCUGUCUGGCUCCUGAAGGAUCCAGGUUGGUCCUGGAGGCCAAGAGUGGACGACGGCAACUCAACCAAGUAGCCCGCCCAAACUGGGCCCAAUGAGGUAUUCUUGCUAGAGCAGAUUCACACAGCCUCCAGUACAUGGGAUGCAACCAUGGGUUUGGUAAAUGUGUUCUCUAUGGCUGUCAGAAAGGAGAUCAGAAAGAGUUUGCAUCUGCUUGAUACAUUUCUUUGCAGUUCACAAUACACAUUCACACUUUUGCCCCAGGGCUAUCUUAACUAUGCCUGAAGAAGUGUGGACCCAUGAGACAUCAUGCAGAACACCGACCCACUACAUCAAUGAUCUUUCCUAGGGAUCCCUGAGAUCCUGACUCCCUGUCAUGGGAUCUGGAGUAACAGCGCCGUGGACCAGGGCAUCUACUUGGUAAUGAAAGAAAUGAGCAUACAACUACAGAAUCUGCUGGCCCAUAAGCCCUAUAAACCAAAAUCUAAGGACCUGACAGAAGGUUGAGAUGCAUUCCUGGGCUACUGCCAGGACUCCACCUUGGGGUGACACCCUGCAAGGACACUGUACAACACAUGGAAUAUUCUUAGGCCUUUAUUUGGUUCCAAAGUGUUUAAAUUAUACUGAAACAGAAACAAGAGGCUGGGAUCUGCCUCUAAUAUUUUAAUAUGUUUAAUUUUUUGGCUUUUAACGAUGAUCUGAAAAGACCACCCAGCAGAAGAGUGAAAGUAGAGAACAAUGACAUUAAAUUUAAAACAAAUCAUUGUAAUUCACAGGUUAGCCUGCAGAUGGUGCCAUAUUACUACUUUUUCUCUUUGCUUUUUCUUCGCUUUAAACCAUCACCUUGACUGCCGUGGGUCAGUGUCCGUCUGGUUGUGACAAACGGGAAGGCAGGCCACAGUCACUGAUUCUCAAAACAUUUGGAGUGGAUUUUAUACUGUCUGAUGUGCAAUCUUCCUUCAAAGAAAGAUAGAUGGUAUUGCUAAUAAAAUUAAAACAGCUCCAAGAAUGGCAGAAUGUAAUGGAAUUUAGGGAGCCUUCUGUCUAACUAUCAGCAGAUAAGAAAGUUAUUUCCUCAAAAUAAUACAGCCAGUAAUUGUCAGGGACAAGCCUCUGCUUCUGACCUUCAGUCACAAGUUAGCCUUAGUUCUGUUACCCCGUUAUUGUCUUCUCACAGGUUAGGGUAAACAUUAUCUCGAGAAUUUGAGAACAUCCUUAUUGGAGAUAGUUUUUAAACCCUGGUUGGCAAUAAUUAACACCCUUGAAUGGGCAGUAGAUUGUACAAACACCACAUGGAAAUGUCAUUGCUUGAUUACAGCAAAGUAAAAAGCCACUAGUCUACAGACUCAGAUUAAAUAUGGAAUAACACAUUUAAGAAACCAGAGAGUAUUUAUGAUUAAGAAGUGGGAAGGAGGAUUAUGGGAUGUGUAAGGGUGGAGGCGGCACAAUUAACGUAUUUUUUGUGCCAUGCACAGUUGUACAUGUUUCUGGGAAAAUAACAGAUCCAAUUAAUUAAUCUUGUCCAUUGGCAGAGUGGGCAAUGAAAUAUACAGUAUGGCUUCAGGGGCACUGGAAAGUAUUCCUGAAUCAUUUGCUCUUAAGUUGAGUUCAAGUUUUUCUGCCCAUUGUGGUACCAUUAAGGCUUAUCGAGAUGUGGGGUCCUGUGUACUAGGUGGGCACUGGUGAAAUGUGACCGUAAGGCGGAGAUUCUCAUACUUUUUGUUUAGAAGAACACUCUACGGUAUUAAAAGUUAUUAAGCACCCCAAAGAGCUUUUGUUUUUGUGGGUUACCGCCAUCGAUAUCCACCAUAUUAGACAUUAAAACAGAAAAA